rnacentral:lncRNA from 1 species
UUUCAAAAUCAAGUUCUGGUUCCUUUUGGCCGCACAGCUGUGCCUUCAACACCCUCCCCAUCCUGCAGCGAGAAGCCAGAGAGCACCCACUCAGCUGCAGAACUUUCUCCCCUGCGUGUGUGGCGAGGACUCCCUCCUCAUUUCCAGCACCGCGUUCCUCGUCCCCCGGCCCCUGGGCAGUGACGGGCCAGUGCAGUCUACCACUUCGUCUGAUCAAGGCACUGAGUCCUCUACCUCCAUCCCUGGAAUCUGUUCCCCCGUCUGGUUCUGAAGCCACUGUCGCGCGUCCAGGUCAGACUGAGCAUCCCUGAUGCCCAAACCCCGAAUCUGAAAUGCUCUGAAAUUGGGAACUUUCUAGCACCAGGAUGAGGCUCAAAGUUCAGAUUUCAGUGUAUUUUAGAUUUUUGCAUCAGGGAUACUCAGCGGGGAAAGUCUACAACAAUCUCCCCCAAUCUGGAAAACUCUGAAACCUGAAACACCCUGGUCCUGAGCAUCUCUGGUGGAGGAUACUCAGCCGGCACCUGUUUUAACAGCUCCACUUGCGGGUCCAAGUCGCGGGUCAGUUAGCCGGUGCUGCUGCCCCUGGCCACACAGACCCAGCCAGCCUGGGAAGGAUUGGCUCCCAGGCUCUCUGCUGGCAGAACUCAACUCCUCGUGGAUGUAGAAUUAAGAGCCUCUGUUUGCUGCAGGCCACUGGCUGGGUGUCCCAGUUCAUGGCCACCAGGGCUCCCCAGAAUGGCAGCUGGCUGCAGCCAAGCCAGCCGGGGCCCGUGUUCAGGGAGAUGGAUGUCAAGGUCCUAUGUAAUGUAGCCUCAGAAGGGACCCACCCUCCCUUCUCCAUAGUCUGUUGGCUAAUUCUGCCCCGACUCAGGGAGGGUCACCUGAGGGCAUGGAUUCAAGGUGGGUGACCAGGCCGUCUGGAACUCUCCCCACGAGGGGGUCGCAGCUUCUGAGCUCGUGCCCCUCCCGUCGGUGCUCGGACCCCACCCCCUCCUGCUCAGUGACCUGGAGAGCUGGUCUCUAGGCCUCCACUCCUCGGGCUCCUGAUGGAGCGGGUCCUGGCAGACAACCCCUGGCCAGAUGACACACAGAUGGCCCUGGGUCUGCCUUCCUGCCCACUGAGUCCUGGCGAAGGCCCGCCCCCUGUUCUGUGCCCUCUCCUGGCUCCUUUGGGGUGGACCCCAGGCUCCUCCCCUCUGAGCCCAGGGACUGUGGCCCUGAUGUGCCACAGGCCCCACCUGCUCCACCUCCUCACUCUCUGGACGUUCUGGAAUGUUCCCCUGUUGGGCUGGAUGUCCCCUGCUCAUCAUAGUGCUCUCGCGGGUGACAGGGGACACCUCCAGGCCUCUCCCCCAGGACAGAAGGCUGUGGCCUUCCCUGUGGCAGAUAGAUGGGUCUAGAAUAAAACAGCAGGCUUGGAAACCAGCCUCUCAGCCGAACAGGGGCUCCGCGGGGCAGAGGGUCCUCUGUUCCACCUGAGGCUGCACAGGGCUCACACAGACGUGGGCCAGUUAGGCACUGGGAGGCUCCAGACCCCAGACUCCCUCUCUCUGGGGAGGGAACUGAGGCUCAGAGGUGGGAAGGGAAGGGCAAAGGUACCCAGCCAAGGGGUGGAGGAUCCCAGACCUGCUCACAUUCUUCAGACUGACAGCCGUCGCUGCCAGGGGGCAGGAGGACAGGGACCGGGAAGAGGCAGUGCCAAGGGGAGGGGCCAAGGCCACAGUCACGUGACCUUUGCGGGCAGGUGAGUCUCACCUACUAGGCUGAGUGACCUACUCAGGGAGGGUCACCCGAGGGCAUGGACUCAAAGUGGGUGACCAGGCCGUCUGGAACUCUCCCCACAAGGGGGUCGCAGCUUCUGAGCUGUGCCCCACCCACAGGAGCCCAGCCUGGCGUGUGCUCUCUGUAGGGGGUGGGGGAGGGGAGG